rnacentral:rRNA from 1 species
UACGGAGGGGACGAGCGUUGUCCGAAGUUACUGGGCGUAAAGCGCGCGUAGGCGGGUUGGCAAGUCUGCUGUGAAAGCCCGGGGCUUAACCCCGGAGGGUCGGUGGAUACUGCCAGUCUUGAAGGUGCUAGGGGGAGAUGGAAUUACCGGUGUAGCGGUGAAAUGCGUAGAUAUCGGGAGGAACACCUGUGGCGAAAGCGGCUCACUGGACCACAACUGACGCUGAGGCGCGAAAGCUAGGGGAGCAAACAGG